CCUACGGGGGGCUGCAGUGGGGAAUAUUGGACAAUGGGGGCAACCCUGAUCCAGCCAUGCCGCGUGUGUGAAGAAGGCCCUCGGGUUGUAAAGCACUUUCAGUGAGGAAGAACGCCUGGUGGUUAAUACCCAUCAGGAAAGACAUCACUCACAGAAGAAGCACCGGCUAACUCCGUGCCAGCAGCCGCGGUAAUACGGAGGGUGCGAGCGGUAAUCGGAAUUACUGGGCGUAAAGCGCGCGUAGGUGGCUUGAUAAGCCGGUUGUGAAAGCCCCGGGCUCAACCUGGGAACGGCAUCCGGAACUGUCAAGCUAGAGUGCAGGAGAGGAAGGUAGAAUUCCCGGUGUAGCGGUGAAAUGCGUAGAGAUCGGGAGGAAUACCAGUGGCGAAGGCGGCCUUCUGGACUGACACUGACACUGAGGUGCGAAAGCGUGGGUAGCAAACAGGAUUAGAUACCCUUGUAGUC
rnacentral:rRNA from 1 species